UAAGGUGGUUUGGAAACGCGUCAUUUCAGGUGGUUUUAAUUGUCAAUACCAUGGCCAUAAAAAUUGGAUCUCCUUACAGAAAUACAUUUUUCACUCAUAGAUGUACCUAAAGAAUGCAUACUCAAACUUUACAAAAUGAAUUAUCAUUUAGGUUGGUUGAACGUGAAGCAGAAAGUCAUCAAUUGGUUCAUACGACUCUGACUCUUACAGAAGGAGUGUUUCAGAGGACGAUGCCCCAUUCUUGUGUCUAAAAGAUCUCAUUUUUAACAUUGAUUGUCUAUGAACAUAAAACCUGUCAUCAAGUAUGUUUUAGAGUAUUUUUUUUAAUCAUCUGUGAAAACUUUUCUGUUAUUUCAGAAGUGGAGUCAAUCAUUUAUAUUUACAAAUUUGAAACAAUCCUAUAUUUCCCCCGCAUUCCAGAAGGUAAAUACGGAAAUGAUUUCCCUGGUUGUGACCGGUUGAUUUAUCGAUGAUCAUAUUAACUGCGGUCGGUAUGCACCUCGAGUCUAAGCAGGGUUUCAGGUGCUGCUAGUUCAAAAAACUGGUUGACGAGUCCAGUAAAAGGGCGUAAGCUCGCGAGACUGCGCCACCACACAGGGUCAAUAGAUGUCUCUACCGGGCUUCCGUAACCGUAACAAAGUAUCUAGAAAACAAUACACCUAUAUCAGUGAUUGCAACAAAACAUGAUGAUGUAAUCAUAAUACUAUCGUUCGCAAACGUCAAAGAUUAAUGCAUGAACUUUGUUUAUCAGUCACAAUUCGAGUAUUGAAUUGUACAGAACACUCAUGCCAAGUCGAUGAAUUACUUAAGUGAAAAAAAAAUGUCAUCCGUGGUCAGGAAGGCUGCACCAUAUGCACCUUGCUUGUUCAAUGCAAUAACUCCACCAGAAAACAUUGGAUAGUGUUGAGCUAUUCGUCGAAUAGCUGUCUCAGCAGCAGCUCCUGGCGAAGAUCCUCGCCGCAUCUCUUCUACAGCUAAAAAGCUAAAAUAAGAUAAGCAUCACCAAGAAGUUAGUAAAACAUGAAAUUACUUAGCAACAAAGGAAGCAUACAAAAAAGAAAUUAAGUAACUUAGUUUUGAAGUAAGGUCUUAAAAUUCACACUACAUGAAGUAUUAGUAAUCCAACCUGGGAAGGAAACGCAUCAUGACAUCUCCAUCUCCUGUGCCUGCAGCAGCUCCAACCUCUUGGUCCGCGUAAGCCCCAGCUCCUGGAAUGGGAGAAUCACCAACACGUCCUGGAAUUUUAUAUUUAGCACCAUUGGUGGAUGUGCCAGCUGCGAUAUGUCCGUGAAUGUCAAUUGCAAUCAUGCCGAUUGUGUCAUGAUUAUUUUGAUCUA